GAUGGCGACCGGCGCACGGGUGAGUAACACGUAUCCAACCUGCCGAUGACUCGGGGAUAGCCUUUCGAAAGAAAGACUAAUACCCGAUGGCAUAGUUCUUCCGCAUGGUGGAACUAUUAAAGAAUUUCGGUCAUCGAUGGGGAUGCGUUCCAUUAGGUUGUUGGCGGGGUAACGGCCCACCAAGCCUUCGAUGGAUAGGGGUUCUGAGAGGAAGGUCCCCCACAUUGGAACUGAGACACGGUCCAAACUCCUACGGGAGGCAGCAUG
rnacentral:rRNA from 1 species